rnacentral:tRNA from 1 species
GAAGAGAUGGCUCAGUGGUUAAGAGCACUGGCUGCUCUUGCAGAGGACCUGGGUUCAAUUCCCAGUAACCACA